ACUUAGUGGCGGACGGGUGAGUAACGCGUGGGUAACCUGCCCUGUACAGGGGGACAACAGCUGGAAACGGCUGCUAAUACCGCAUAAGCCCUUAGCACUGCAUGGUGCAUAGGGAAAAGGAGUAAUCCGGUACAGGAUGGACCCGCGUCUGAUUAGCCAGUUGGCAGGGUAACGGCCUACCAAAGCGACGAUCAGUAGCCGAUCUGAGAGGAUGUACGGCCACAUUGGGACUGAGACACGGCCCAGACUCCUACGGAAGGCAGCAGUGGGGAAUAUUGCACAAUGGAGGAAACUCUGAUGCAGCGACGCCGCGUGAGUGAAGAAGUAUUUCGGUAUGUAAAGCUCUAUCAGCAGGGAAGAAAAUGACGGUACCUGACUAAGAAGCACCGGCUAAAUACGUGCCAGCAGCCGCGGUAAUACGUAUGGUGCAAGCGUUAUCCGGAUUUACUGGGUGUAAAGGGAGCGUAGGUGGCAAGGCAAGCCAGAAGUGAAAACCCGGGGCUCAACCGCGGGAUUGCUUUUGGAACUGUCAUGCUAGAGUGCAGGAGGGGUGAGCGGAAUUCCUAGUGUAGCGGUGAAAUGCGUAGAUAUUAGGAGGAACACCGGAGGCGA
rnacentral:rRNA from 1 species